GGGGAUUUCACAUUAUUAAUUGUGGAUCAACUUAAUCUAAACGAUUACAUAAUGAUUUUCCAAAACAGACCAAACGCAAGCUGUCUCGUCCGAAUGAGUCCUAGAAACAUGGAUUGGGCCACAAUGCAUUCGUCACUUUCCCCGGUCAACGCAGCCAAAAUACUCCGGUGGAAGAAGUCUUCUCUCUGGCCAUAUUGCCACUGGGACAGACACCGAUAAACGCCGCCGUCUCAACCAAAAUAAUAUGUACCAAGAGAGAAAUAGUAAACCCUUCCCAUUUCUCUCCACUCGCUUUCGUAAAAGCUCUGGCUCCGCUACCGUCAUGCCACCCUCAUCAUCCACCACCACCACCUCCACCAACAAGGCCCUAAUUCUACGCCCUUCGCGCCUCAAAGAUAUUCUCUUAGUUUUCUCCCUCCUCUUAAUCCUCCACCUCCUCUUUCGCGCUCCACCUCCACCAUCUUCCGUCCAACGCGCCGCCACUAUCGGAGCUUUAACCUCGAGUCCCACCACGCGUAGUCAUCUCCUCUUCUCCAUUGCCUCCUCCACCUCCUCCUUUCCUCGCCGCGCGUCCUACCUCCGCCUCUGGUACAAUCCCAACUCUACUCGCGCAUUUACCUUCCUUGACGUUAACGCAUCCCUUUCUGUUGAUCCCACCCUUCCUCCCGUGAUCCUAUCCAAAGACACCUCUCGUUUCCCCUACACCUUCAAGGGCGGUCUAAGGUCGGCGAUUCGGCUGGCGCGGUUGGUGAAAGAGGCGGUGGACCUCGAUCAAUCAAAUGUGCGGUGGUUUGUGUUCGGAGACGAUGACACGGUGUUUUUCGUGGAAAAUUUGGUGAAAACGUUGUCCAAGUAUGACCAUAAUAAAUGGUAUUAUAUAGGGAGCAAUUCAGAGAGUUAUGAGCAGAAUUUGAAGUAUUCAUUUGAUAUGGCCUUUGGAGGUGGAGGUUUCGCGAUAAGUUAUUCACUUGGUAGGGUUUUGGCUAGGGUUUUGGAUUCGUGUUUGGUGCGAUAUGCCCAUUUGUACGGGAGUGAUGCCAGGGUUUUCUCUUGCUUGGCAGAGUUGGGUGUUGGGUUGACUCAUGAACCAGGGUUCCAUCAGGUUGAUUUACGGGGCAAUUUGUUUGGCUUGCUUUCUGCACAUCCAUUGUCACCAUUGGUGUCUCUUCAUCAUUUAGAUGCUGCAGACCCACUCUUUCCUUAUACAAGCAAGGCUCAAGCUGCAGAACACCUUUUUGAAGCUGCAAAUGUUGAUCCUGUCAGGAUCUUGCAGCAAACAGUUUGCUAUGACCGUACAAGUUCAUUGACUGUUUCAGUUGCAUGGGGUUAUUCUGUUCAGGUGUUUGAAGGCAAUGAGCUUCUUCCAGAUAUCCUUUCUCUACAGAGGACCUUUAGACCAUGGAGGAGAAGUGCAAAUAUUGAAUCCAGUCAUUAUAUGUUUAAUAUGAGAGAAUAUCCUAGGCAUCCAUGUAAAAGACCUCUUGUAUUCUUUAUGGAGAAUGUUACAUUUGGUGAUGGUGGUAUUUGGAGCACUUACACCAAGGACGAUAUUGGCGGUUGCUCCAGAGCUAAAGCUAUAAAGAAUCUGGAGCAUGUAAGAGUAUUUUCCCAGAAACUAGAACCUGAUAUUGGACAGGUAUUUACUUGAUUGGUUUAAAUAUCUUGAGUUGAAAUAAGGUUGGCAAUUUUCUCAUAUUGUGCUUGAAGUUGUUGUUUGUGUUACUGUCAGCUUUUAAAUGUUAUUUUCCUUCUAUUUCAGAUUAAGGCUCUGCGUCGACAAUGUUGUGACAUUUCUCCCUCAUUUAAUGAAUCAAUGGUCAUUAGCAUUAGGCAAUGUGGCACAGAUGAAUUAAUUUCUAUGCAUUUCUAGUCUUUCUUGGGGAAUGACUGCUGUACAGAAAUGCCAUUAACGAGAAAACUCUCAGAGUUUGAAUUUUUGAUCCUUGUUGUUUAGGAAAGAAUGACUUGUGAUUGACCACUUGAUGCUGCCAAGGGAUUCAAGAAAAUUCAUUGUGAAAUACGUGAGAAGCUUAAGAUUAUAGUCCACUUCUAAUGUAGAGUUCGGGGGAAUUAUAAUUGUUAUGUAUCUAUAUGAAUAAUAUUAGUUGUUGGUUCUUUAUUUAAGUCAUAUGGAUAAUUUUGUAAUUUCAGAAUUUUUAUGGAAAUAUUUAAAUUUUUAUUCUUUAUAUAUAGUCCUUGUUGGUUAAGGAUUACU
rnacentral:misc_RNA from 1 species